rnacentral:rRNA from 1 species
UAGAGUAAUGCGUGACCAACCUGCCCCAUGCUCCAGAAUAGCUCUUGGAAACGGGUGGUAAUGCUGGAUGCUCCAACUUGACGCAUGUCUUGUUGGGAAAGUGUCUAGUGGCAUGGGAUGGGGUCGCGUCCUAUCAGCUUGUAGGCGGGGUAAUGGCCCACCUAGGCUUCGACGGGUAGCCGGCCUGAGAGGGCGGACGGCCACAUUGGGACUGAGAUACGGCCCAGACUCCUACGGGAGGCAGCAGUC